AACGAACGCUGGCGGCAUGCCUAACACAUGCAAGUCGAACGAGACCUUCGGGUCUAGUGGCGCACGGGUGCGUAACGCGUGGGAAUCUGCCCUUGGGCUCGAAAUAACAGUUGGAAACGACUGCUAAUACCGGAUGAUGUCUUCGGACCAAAGAUUUAUCGCCCAGGGAUGAGCCCGCGUAGGAUUAGCUUGUUGGUGAGGUAAAGGCUCACCAAGGCGACGAUCCUUAGCUGGUCUGAGAGGAUGAUCAGCCACACUGGGACUGAGACACGGCCCAGACUCCUACGGGAGGCAGCAGUGGGGAAUAUUGGACAAUGGGCGAAAGCCUGAUCCAGCAAUGCCGCGUGAGUGAUGAAGGCCUUAGGGUUGUAAAGCUCUUUUACCCGGGAAGAUAAUGACUGUACCGGGAGAAUAGCCCCGGCUAACCUCCGUGCCAGCAGCCGCUGUAAU
rnacentral:rRNA from 1 species